rnacentral:rRNA from 1 species
GACGAACGCUGGCGGCGUGCUUAACACAUGCAAGUCGAACGGUAAGGCCCUUCGGGGUACACGAGUGGCGAGCGGGUGAGUAACACGUGGGUGAUCUGCCCUGCACUUCGGGAUAAGCCUGGGAAACUGGGUCUAAUACCGGAUAGGACUCCUGGCUUCAUGGUUGGGGGUGGAAAGCUUUUGCGGUGUGGGAUGGGCCCGCGGCCUAUCAGCUUGUUGGUGGGGUAAUGGCCUACCAAGGCGACGACGGGUAGCCGGCCUGAGAGGGGGACCGGUCACAGUGGGACUGAGAUACGGCCCAGCAUCCUACGGGAGGCAGCAGUGGGGAAUAUUGCACAAUGGGCGCAAGCCUGAUGCAGCGACGCCGCGUGAGGGAUGACGGCCUUCGGGUUGUAAACCUCUUUCAGCUAUGACGAAGCGCAAGUGACGGUAGUAGCAGAAGAAGGACCGGCCAACUACGUGCCAGCAGCCGCAGUAA